CCCAGACUCCUACGGGAGGCAGCAGUGAGGAAUAUUGGUCAAUGGCCGGGAGGCUGAACCAGCCAAGUCGCGUGAGGGAAGACGGCCCUACGGGUUGUAAACCUCUUUUGUCAGGGAGCAAGGUGCAGGUCGGGACCUGCUGUGAGAGUACCUGAAGAAAAAGCAUCGGCUAACUCCGUGCCAGCAGCCGCGGUAAUACGGAGGAUGCGAGCGUUAUCCGGAUUUAUUGGGUUUAAAGGGUGCGCAGGCGGAGCCACAAGACGGCGGUAAAAUCGGGGGGCUCACCCCCGCUCCGCCGUUGAAACUGAUGAUCUUGAGUGGGCGAGAAGUAUGCGGAAUGCGCGGUGUAGCGGUGAAAUGCAUAGAUAUCGCGCAGAACUCCGAUUGCGAAGGCAGCGUACCGGCGCCAGACUGACGCUGAGGCACGAAAGCGUGGGGAUCGAACAGGAUUAGAUACCCCAGUA
rnacentral:rRNA from 1 species